rnacentral:rRNA from 1 species
GAUGAACGCUGGCGGCGUGCCUAAUACAUGCAAGUCGAGCGAAAAGAUGAGGAGCUUGCUCCUCUGACGUUAACGGCGGAAGGGUGAGUAACACGUGGAUAACCUACCUAUAAGACUGGGAUAACUUCGGGAAACCGGAGCUAAUAACGGAUAAUAUAUUGAAUCGCAUGGUUCAAUAGUGAAAGACGGUUUUGCUGUCACUUAUAGAUGGAUCCGCGCCGCAUUAGCUCGUUGGUAAGGUAACGGCUUACCAAGGAAACGAGGCGUAGCAGACCUGAGAGGGUGGUCGGCCACACUGGAACUGAGACACGGUCCAGACGCCUACGGGAGGCACCAGUAGGGAAUCGUCCGCAAUGGGCGAAAGACUGACGGAGCAACGCCGCGUGAGUGAUGAAGGUCUUCGGAGCGUAAGACUCUGUUAUUAGGGAAGAACAAAUGUGUAAGUAGCUAUGCACGUCUUGACGGUACCUAAUCAGAAAGCCACGGCUAACUACGUG